GCACCCAAGCUUCUUUUGGUUUUCUUUUUUUAUCUCAGACUGUUGUGCCCAAGAUUGUGAAUCUGUGAAUCUGAGAAAUCACAAAUCACCGAGAAGCCAACACCAAUGCAAACACAUGAGGGUUUAUUUACAAGCUCGAGCUUGUGUUCAAGUAUACCCAACACAGUGGAGCGGGGACUUGGACCCCGAGGUGGGUUUUAGCUUAUUUUUAAGAGUUGGUCUCGGGGAACUCCUGAAGGGUGGAGUAAUUCCUCAAGUUCUGUUUACAUUUUGAUAUGGGGCCUUCAAGGGCAUUGAGAUCUGUUCUAAUAGGGGCUUCCUGCCCUUGGACUGGGCUCAGUUUUUAUUCUAUUGUGGGGCUUGCUGUGUCCUGACAGUGAGCAUUCAGGAAGGAAAUGAUGGAUGUGACUCCCUUCUCAGGUGCAUCACAGAGAAUAAAUAAGGAGACUGAACAAAAAGAGCACAAGAUAUUGGGGGCUUCGUCCAUAUCAGAAGGGACUCCUCAGAACCACAGGGACCCCCUGGAGGACUCUGGAGGUGCCGUUGGGGGCCACAUCCACAUCAGAAGGGACUACUCAGAACCACAGGGGGCCUGGGAUGGAUGGACCUGUUCGAACCCUGAACUUAAAGAGGAAAGACCUUCAUUUUCUUGGCCUCCUUGCGUCCCCUCCCAUCCUAUCUAGCUCUUUCCCCCUUCCCCGGAGCUCCUGAGAGAGCAAUUGCAAAUGACCUCAGCUUGGCAGGGUCUGUUGGGGGACAGGCCCAGGGAUUUGGGAUCAGGGAGACCUGGGGUGCGGGCAUACCGGCUGUGCAUAGGAAUUUGAUGCUGCAGACUCAUUCCCUAAGGCUAUCUUGACAACUGACUUUGUACAUAGAAAAGCUCUCCUUUAUCUUUAAAAGAUGAAGAGCCAGUCAAAGCCUUUUUUCUCUGCCCAUCUGAUUGCUCAGAUUCCAAUGUGAGAUGUAUUUCCUGUUAAUAAGGAUAAUUUACUAUCCAUAGUACUAUGGUUAAAAUAUUCUGACACAAGUAAUUCAGAGGGAUGAGGGGUUCUCAUCUCUUUCUUCACAGCUCAGUCACUCCUCAGGAAAUGCAUCUUUAUGGAUUUGGAAAGAACUGAGAGACAUUAUUACCAAUGGUCCUAUUAUUAUGUGAAGGAUCCUUCCCUGAGAUUCUUCCCCUGUUUCAACUGACACUGAAACACUUUGAACUCUUUGGAAGACAAAUGUCAAGGAAAUAAAUGUUAUGCAUUGCUAAUUUUAAAUGCCCUU
rnacentral:lncRNA from 12 species